UGGGGAAUAUUGCACAAUGGGCGCAAGCCUGAUGCAGCCAUGCCGCGUGUGUGAAGAAGGCCUUCGGGUGGUAAAGCACUUUCAGCGGGGAGGAAGGCGUUAAGGUUAAUAACCUUGGCGAUUGACGUUACCCGCAGAAGAAGCACCGGCUAACUCCGUGCCAGCAGCCGCGGUAAUACGGAGGGUGCAAGCGUUAAUCGGAAUUACUGGGCGUAAAGCGCACGCAGGCGGUCUGUCAAGUCGGAUGUGAAAUCCCCGGGCUCAACCUGGGAACUGCAUUCGAAACUGGCAGGCGAGAGACUUGUAGAGGGGGGUAGAAUUCCAGGUGUAGCGGUGAAAUGCGUAGAGAUAUGGAGGAAUACAGGUGGCGAAGGCGGCCCCCUGGACAAAGACUGACGCUCAGGUGCGAUAGCGUGGGGAGCAAACAGG
rnacentral:rRNA from 1 species